AGCAAACAAGUAAUUAACAAAUUCUUAUCACUGACUAUUACUCAAAAAUAAUUUUGAAACAAUAAAAAAAAACUAAUUAGAUUUAUGUUUAAACACAACAAAACACCAUUACAUCAGUUAGUUGGUGUCUAGUAUUUCGCAUUGAAAGAGCAAUGAAAUUCUGGAUUCUAAUAAGUCUAAUUUGCGGCCUCAUAAACGCAAAUAGGGCAGCAAUGUCUACAGGAAUUUUUACAGAUCCAAAGUACCCAGGUAAAUGUAUUGUGGACGAUGUGAUUAUGUCGCCUGGAGAACAGGCUAAAUAUCCAUUCUCGCUCUGCGGCCGGAUGUUGUGCGGUAAUGAGGGUUCCGUUGUUUUCCAUACAUGUGGUACCAUAGGCCCACCAAAGGGUUAUAAGCUGGGUGAGCCCAUUGAGCCAUCAGCACCAUAUCCGAUGUGUUGUACAAAGUAUUUUAU